rnacentral:rRNA from 1 species
UACGUAGGGGCCUAGCGUUGUCCGGAUUUAUUGGGCGUAAAGAGCUCGUAGGCGGUUUGGUGAGUCGGGUGUGAAAUCUCCACGCUCAACGUGGAGGGGCCACCCGAUACUGCCAUGACUAGAGUCCGGUAGGGGAGUGUGGAAUUCCCGGUGUAGCGGUGAAAUGCGCAGAUAUCGGGAGGAACACCAAUAGCGAAGGCAGCUCGCUGGGACGUUACUGACACUGAGGCGCGAAAGCGUGGGGAGCGAACAGG